rnacentral:rRNA from 1 species
AGAGUUUGAUCAUGGCUCAGAGCGAACGCUGGCGGCAGGCUUAACACAUGCAAGUCGAGCGGGCGUAGCAAUACGUCAGCGGCAGACGGGUGAGUAACGCGUGGGAACGUACCUUUUGGUUCGGAACAACCCAGGGAAACUUGGGCUAAUACCGGAUAAGCCCUUACGGGGAAAGAUUUAUCGCCGAAAGAUCGGCCCGCGUCUGAUUAGCUAGUUGGUGAGGUAAUGGCUCACCAAGGCGACGAUCAGUAGCUGGUCUGAGAGGAUGAUCAGCCACAUUGGGACUGAGACACGGCCCAAACUCCUACGGGAGGCAGCAGUGGGGAAUAUUGGACAAUGGGCGCAAGCCUGAUCCAGCCAUGCCGCGUGAGUGAUGAAGGCCCUAGGGUUGUAAAGCUCUUUUGUGCGGGAAGAUAAUGACGGUACCGCAAGAAUAAGCCCCGGCUAACUUCGUGCCAGCAGCCGCGGUAAUACGAAGGGGGCUAGCGUUGCUCGGAAUCACUGGGCGUAAAGGGUGCGUAGGCGGGUCUUUAAGUCAGGGGUGAAAUCCUGGAGCUCAACUCCAGAACUGCCUUUGAUACUGAAGAUCUUGAGUUCGGGAGAGGUGAGUGGAACUGCGAGUGUAGAGGUGAAAUUCGUAGAUAUUCGCAAGAACACCAGUGGCGAAGGCGGCUCACUGGCCCGAUACUGACGCUGAGGCACGAAAGCGUGGGGAGCAAACAGGAUUAGAUACCCCCGUAGUCC